AUACGGAGGGGGCUAGCGUUGUGCGGAAUUACUGGGCGUAAAGGGCGCGUAGGCGGAUUAUCAAGUCAGAGGUGAAAGCCCUGGGCUCAACCUGGGAACUGCCUAUGAAACUGAUAGUCUUGAGGCCGGAAGAGGAUGGCGGAAUUCCCAGUGUAGAGGUGAAAUUCGUAGAUAUUGGGAAGAACACCAGUGGCGAAGGCGGCCAUCUGGUCCGGUUCUGACGCUGAGGCGCGAAAGCGUGGGGAGCAAACAGGAUUAGAUACCCCGGUAGUCC
rnacentral:rRNA from 1 species